AUGCUUUAUUCCAUGGCACAUGUACUAAAAUUGGAACGAUACAGAGAAGAUUAGCAUGGCCCCUGCACAAGGAUGACACACGAUUUUAUGAAGCUUCCUUAUUUUUC
ensembl:snRNA U6 U6 spliceosomal RNA